GAUGAAGAACGUAGCGAAAUGCGAUAAGUAAUGUGAAUUGCAGAAUUCAGUGAAUCAUCGAAUCUUUGAACGCACAUUGCGCCCGCCAGUAUUCUGGCGGGCAUGCCUGUUCGAGCGUCAUUACAACCCUCAGGCCCCCGGGCCUGGCGUUGGGGAUCGGCGGAGCCCCGUGGGCACACGCCGUCCCCCAAAUGCAGUGGCGGUCCCGCCGCAGCUUCCAUCGCGUAGUAGCUAACACCUCGCGACUGGAGAGCGGCGCGGCCACGCCGUAAAACACCCAACUCUUCUGAAGUUGACCUCGAAUCAGGUAGGAAUACCCGCUGAACUUAAGCAUAUCAAUAAGCGGAGGA
rnacentral:misc_RNA from 1 species